GUAAGUGAAGCUUAAAUCAACUUCAUUUCCCAAAAUAGCCAUACUGGGUAAGACACAAUGUUGGUCCUGCCAGUAUCCUUUCUUCUACAGUGAUCAAUAGUAUUCCUUGAAGAAGUAAUGUAAGAACAGCCAAAUAUAGAAUGACCGUUCUUCUGUAUAAUCUCCAUGACAAAUGAAGUGUCAAGAACUUCUUUGGGUGGAGAUGGUAUCUGCAUUUAAUAGCUUUUGAUGGAAUUUUAUGCUACACUGGACCUUCAGUGCAAUAUUCUCCUAUCACUGAUUCUUUUAGCUCACAUAUACAUUUAGCCUCCAUAAUAACCUAUAGCAUAUCAUUUAUUUAAUAAAGACAGUAGUUUUCUUUUCUUUGAAACCUACUAUCUCAAAAGUUUAUUGGCAUCUUGCUAUUCUUUUGUUAUGAGAAACAGUGAAUAACUGUUGUCUUCUCAUUUUCUCCAGCAAAGGCGUGUGGGUUUUAUAUACCUUUAUUGUAUGUCCCUUCAGUUGCUGCUUUUUCAGGCUAAGAAUCCCAGGUACAAAAAACAGUUAGAAACAUUAUCAGAGAUAAUAGUUACCCAUGCUUUACUGACAAAAUAGAAAAACGGUCCCUGUUAGAUUGUGAGAGGUCUGCUUUCACUGGAAUUUAUCUGGUUUUUCCUUAUUGACUCAGGUGAUAUUGUAGAGCGACUGCUUAAUGUAUCUGUACAUGAUAAACACAGUAAGAGUGGGAGUGCCCUUUGCAGGGCAGAACUAGACUUCAGAGUUAUUUUUGCAAGUUGGAGAAGUAAUUUGGGUAAAAAAAGGUUUUAGUAAUAAUCAUCAUUAUCAUCCAUAUUUUUGUGUUUAGGUGGAAAGAAUUGUCUGUACAAAUCUAUCACGAGUCAGAUAUUUAGGCAAUGAUAAAUAGAACUAAAGCUGAAAAGUAGAACAUAAGUCAACAAAGAUUUGUUGUACUGAAAAAGGCAAUUCUCAAACCAGUCUGUGUGGAAAGGUCGAUAACCUGGCAAGGUUUAUGGUGCAUGUUCUCUACUCUAGCUGGUUUUGGCAGGACACAGCUGGAGUACAGUGUCUGGUAUUGAUCACCUCAUGGUGAUCAAAGGAGGAUAUGGAUUAUUCUGAGACCCAAGAGGAGUUCAGUAAAGAUGAUCAAAAAACAGUUGAAGAAAUUCACAGCUUUUCCAUUUAAAAUAGCUAAACCUAAGAGAAGAUAUGUCAGUAAGUACCAAAUAAAUAAAACUUUGUAGCAAGAUAUAAGCCUUUCUCCCUGUCCACUUGUUGAGACAAAUAACAGGGAACAGAAUAGAUUUAACUUAAGAAAAGGGCUUUAAGAAAACACUGACAGCACAAAUAAUAAACCCAUGGGAUCAGUUGUCUGAGUCAUGGUAUCUCUACCACUAGGGUUUUUAAGGACAAAUUAAACAUCUGUGUGGACACUUAGGUCUAAUUGAUUCUGCUGUACAGCAGAGAGAUGGACUAAGAUGACCUCUUGGGAUCACUUUCAGUAUUUUUUUUCUGUUUUGUUUGUUUUGUUCCCCCUCACACCCCCAGAUAUGUUAAAAUAUUAAUGCAUUAAAUGUUGCUUAGAUAGAUUGUUGAUUAAUAUUUAGUUUCAUUUAAGAAUGACAUAAAAAAUGCAACUGAAAAUCUACUUAAAAAAGAACAAGAAUUAACCACAAGCAAGCUAACCUUGGAAGAAGCCCAGAGAGAAAGAUAAGCAUACAAAAUAUGAAGACCUGAACAAAUCCUUUUUAGAAAAGAAAGAUGAAGAAGUACAAGCCACAAGAGCCAUUCAGCAGUCAAUCAAAACUACUGGGAAGCUCAAGAAGGACAUGGUAAUAACUUACUGUAGUAAUUCUGCAGAGUUUCAACCACCAGAUUUAUUUCCUCCUGGUAAAGGCACCCAUGGAGACUGGGACCAGGGAAGACAGGCUGGGACCUUACCAUCCUCUCUGUUGCUGUGCUCCCAUCUGGGGAGUGGCUGAGAUUUCAGCUCAGCCUAUAACCCAGAAUUUAUAUCAAGCUGCCCUUCUGCUUGAUUUUGUGUUCCUUAGACAUGUGAGCAAGUCAAAAAGAAGCUGGUGAACUGGGGGCAUUUGUAAACCUGCUUCAAUUCAGGUUCUUGCUACUGCAAAGGCAGGAAUUUCUGCUACUUUAGUAACUCGUAUUUGAAAAACUUUUCUGUAGCAUUGCCUCUUUACCUGUAUUUCUCAUUUCUGACUUGAGGCAUUCAAUCAGCACCAGUGUGAAGAGAACGAAAUUGGUAUAGCUGUAGGGGUAGUUAGAAUAGUUCAAAAUGCCUGAAGCUGGGCUGUACAUCCCAGGCUAACAAUCAGAUUGCUUUUUCUUCCUGUUUCUUUGCCAGAACAAAAAUUUAUGGGGGAAAGGAACAUAUUUACACCUUCUGCUGCUACUAGGAAGAAUUAAAGUGUCUUUAGUUACUGAGAAGCAUAGGACAAGAUCAAUAAACUACAUAAAGGGAUCUUACGAGGCUGGUCAGAUGCAGGAUUCAUGCCCCAGUGGUCUGUUUAGAAAAGGGAGACCUGUUUCUCCAACCAUAUUAGAAUAGAAAUAGCACAACAAAACAGUUGUGUACACUUGAGCCUCAGGUGACAGAAAAAUUAUGCUCUUGCCAUUGGUUGACCCUGCAGCAGAAAGGUCACUUCAUGUCAGAGCUGAUUCAUUUCUUGUGGACCAUAAGCAAUUGAUUCCCCACUCUGUGUCUUCACUGGUAAGAGGGCUGUCUCAGAUGGUACUUUGGAAUCUUAAAAUGAAAGCUGCCACAUAACAAAAACUCUUUUCACUUUAUUUAAUUACAAAAAUCCUAUAUAAAAAUCUGUUAUCAGUGAAGUUUAUUAUUAACAGCUGGAGCUGAAGAAUAAAUUGCGAACGAAGCGUGAUGCUGCAGUUAGCCAGUUGAAAAAUCACACAGAGACUACGAAGCUCCUAGAACAAGACAUCUAUGAGAUCAACAGGAAAAUUGACAUUGUGUACACUGAGAACUGCAGAUUCAAAUUACGCACUGCACAAAUGAAAGAAGAUAUUUUUGCAAUGAAUUCUGAAGCAGAAAAACACAAGUCAGCAAUAGGCAAAAUCCUGAAAGACAUACCAGUGCUUCACGGAAUUUCUGGAGAAUGAGCAGGAACUACUGAACACAGUGACAGCUCUAACAACAGAAAUUCAGCAACGAGAUGAAAAGAUUGGUGAUAUUAAUAGCAGGCUGCAAAAUAACCUGGAAGGACUGGAUUCUCUGCUUGUCCGAAAAUCUAAACUGGAUGAUCACAAUAAAAUAGACUAAACUUUUUCUUUUCCACUCUCUUUUCUUUUUCAUUUUUCCUUUUUGCUGUUUUUUUAAUCCCAGAACAUGUUGAUUCUCACCACUUCGUGAUAGAGACCCUGUAACGCAGCACAUUGUAUCCAAUCACUGUGCUGCAGAUUGAGAUCGAGUGGUUAUAUUUAUUAGCCGAACUAGACAUGCUUUAGAACAGCCUGGAUAUUAUCAUCUUUUAUCUCCACUUUGUAACGGGUUGUGAUAAUAACAGUGAGGGGGCUGUAAAACAGUCUGAGCAUCAUUGAUCUUUCCAGAACUGUGUUUGCUUUUCCACAAAGGAUAAAUAAAACUAACAGACCUUUA